UCUAUUCUCAAACACAGCAGUGUAGUGUGUGGCUGAAACUUCUCUUGCUCUACAUUAUGUGGCAUGUGUUUGGCCUGUAACAGCCUAUAUACCACACAGCUUGACUUGGCAGGACACUAAUCUUUUAAGACUCUGUGUGCUGUCACCCGUUGGCCUUCGGCCCUGUAACUACACUCUCGAAGCACUUAACACUGUAUGCAUUGCAUAACCUGUUCGUUCUUCAAUAUCCUGUGCCUCUAUGGAACAGGGCGACACAGUUAAGGUCAAUGUUUUGUAUAUCACUGCAACUUUUAUCCCUCAAUAUUAAUGGCAAGGUGUGGAAGACUGUUUGAGACACAAGUUAUUGUUCUUCAACUAGUUAGUACGUUUUUCAGCUGUCACGCCUUCAAUUAAUCCGACCACAUCUACACACUUCUGAUUUAAAAAGUACAUAGUUGAACAAAGGUUUUUAUGAAGAAAGAAGAACAGAAAAGUCAAGUAGAGACUUUCAGUUUCUGAUUUUCAGUGAGUGAAAAUAAGAAAUAGUGCUGUGUGAUCUAAGUUCCCCUUGCGCCUGUGUCCUCUGGAGUAUAGCAUCAGCUCAGAUGUUGGGUGUGGCUGAUUCUCUUUAAACCUGGCUGCCUCAGGGCUUUGCUCUGUGUUUCUCUUCCUGAUAUUACAGAGCUCACAUUCCUGUGAAAUGUUGAAAUAACACAUUCAUCACUCUGUGCUUUGCAACGCUUCAGCUGGUGUCUCUGCCAUUGGUUCCUGCACAGAGAUGACACAUCAGACAUCAUCCUGUCUGCAGGCUUGUUUUCCUUAUUUAGCAGUGAAGUUGUAACUGUGAGUGUAGGAGGAGCUGACACAGACUGAUCAUCUAGUGAGGCUUGAGGAGGAGGGCUGCUUUUAAGUGGUAAUCUUCAACUUAACCAGGAAGUAAAAAUAAAUGCAUUCUUAGAUGCACAUCCUGGAUCUAUGCAAAGAGAUGAAACUGUACAUGAGACGGCAUUGUUCCAUAUAUUUUAUUUAGUUACACUAUACAUUUUGUUAACAGAACCUUUACAUUUGGUUUUCUACCAAAAUAUAGACAAAUUUCAUCUAUUUCAUAAAUGAUUCAUUAUAGGUCACUAGUACUUGAGCUAGAGCCAAAUUCAGUCCUGAAUAUCCCUCUUUUAGAAUAUGUUCUUUAUGUUUUGAAAUCUUUAAGAUCUCAGUUUUAUUCACUCAGGCUGCAUGAAUGAGGAUGUGAGAUAGUUUCUGGUAUGUUUUGUCACCUUACUCUAAAGGUGUUUUAAGACCAAGAGCAAGGCAAUGCAAGUGCACACAAAGUCAAUGCAAAUGUGCCAUAAGACAAAACUGUGUGCAGAAUGACAUGUCAGUUGUGUUACUGUGCACGCUGAAUUUUUUAAAACUUUCUACAAGACUGUGUCCCAAAAGCCAAUCAGUCUUUGUCAGACAUGUGAUAUUUUUGUCAAUGACAUCACUGCGGCGCCAUAUUGAAGGUUUUGUAACGGUGGUACCCCAACCGAAGUAUUCAAUCGAGCCACCGUCAAACUGGAAUGAGUUUUAGAAUACGUUUGGCUCAGUUAAAGAAUCUUGAGAAUCUUUUGGAUCCCUUGUAACUUUUAUGGGUGGUGGGCUCUUGUAAGCAUUGCAUUCAGGUUUGGGGAAUAACAGAACACAUGUAAUGGGAUGAUGUCAUUAUGAAACAGAAAAAAAGGUACUUUACAGUUACAAGAAAACAUUUACUCAGAUUACAGCAUUGAGAAACUCUGACUGAACUGAAUGUUGUUUGUGUGUUUCUUAUCUUGCAGACCAACAGGACAAAGAAUACAUUUAGACUUUACAAAUCUGCAUCAUGACGUAUAUAUUUGGGGCGUGCGCAUUCUUUGGAUUCUUUCAUGCUAUGAAACCACAGCAAAUCGUUCAUAUCACUGUUCAUAUUUUAUCAUAGAGGAUGAAUCUUUCUCAUUUUCAUUUGGUGACGCCAAAAGAUGUCUAUUUAUGAUUUUAAAACAUGUCAACAAAUUAACCAUAAAAACUUGUUUCCAAGUCCCUUUUCCUCGUGACUGUAACAUUUUUUGGACUUCUUAUUCUUUGGUUCAUUCUUUCACAGUAUCGCAAAGUGUUUUGGUAGAAGUGAGUACAGAUCAGAGGGAUCAGGUGAUGCUUAAUAAAUGAAUACACUUUUCAUCAGCCACAUCACUGCACUAAAUCAGCUGAUUCAUGACAACAAAAGCUUAACAACUGAGGAAACAAUCCCCCCAAAAUAUCCUGUUGCUCCGUUUCCACCAAGCGGUCUGGUUCUGUUCAGUUUGGUACGGUACCCAUUUAUUGGCGUUUCCACCUGUCAAAAGUUGGGAAUGGUACCAAAAUAAGGGAUCCGUACCGUCCUGCCUUUUUGGUACCCUUCUGUCAGGAUGCCAAGGGUACUGAUCCAACCCUAAAGGGUCCCUUGUUUACUGUAUCCCUGUUCUUCUUGAACGUUUAACUACAUUAAUAGUGGCCUACACUGUGUUAGGCUGCUAUAAUGUCACACUAUUACAUGGCUGACGCGGCUAUCUCCAUAUGGCUUACACUCCACUUACCAAAUAAGGUUACGGUUGGCUGUGGAAACGCAAGCAAGUUCAGAACUGUACCAAACGCUACCGCUUGGUGGAAACGGGGCUUAAGUGUUGCAUAGUGGAAUGAUAUGAACACACAGCAGCCUAAACUGCAACCAGGGGCUAACUUCAUUUAUUUUAGGUGAUAAGAAAAAUAAUAGUAGAAAGAAUAGAAAAUGUAUUUUUGUGAGGCUGUUUAUAUUCAUGCAUGAGUCCUUUGCGACCAGUGUGUUUCAAUAUGAAAGAAGAACCUCUGAAAAUCUAUUUCCAGAGUUUAAAGGCUUUGGUGCACAGAAUAAUAAGCCCUCUUCAUCUGAUAUCUCUCACUGCAGCAGGCUGAAUACUUUGAUUGUUACACUUGACUCAUGUAAAGUCUGUGUGUAUGUGUUAUUUUCUAGCUGUGUGGUAUCAUUUGCAUGUGAUAUUUAUCAGGGAAACAGUGGACAAAGAUCCGUUGACAUAUGUGUCCUUCUUCAGAUGUCUGCGGGGUAAAAAUUAACUGAAGGAGAAAGUAUUCAGUCAGUUCAAAACACCAUUCAUUUACAUGUAUACAAAAAAUACUUUACCUUUAACCCCAUUGAACUCCAUAUUUGAAGGCCUAUUUAAAUUGUUGUAAAGGUUUUAAAUAAGUUGGAAUAGUGAAAAUCAUGGCCAAACACACGUGGACUCAUAGUUUUUGGAACCACACAAACUUAAAAUCACGUGAUAGGUGAAUAAACAUGUUUGGAUUUGGUUAUCUCGUUCACCGCUUUUCGCCAAAUCCGCCCGACCACUCCCAGGAGACUGCUCUGGUGUCGCAGAGGGACCGAGUGUGUUCUGAGGGAGGGAAUACAAGAAGAUAAUGUGUCAUCAGCCAGCCUUUUGUGGGCAGAAACGAAGUCAAUUUAUGCAGAACAACAUCUCUCCCAAAGAGUCUUUUUUUUUUUUUUGCUGUCUCAUCAUUUGUCGUAGUUUCAGUGCAGUUUUCUCUGCAGGGAGGCCGCCUGCAGAGUCAGCAUGACUUUAAAGGGAAGACAAACCAGGAAGAAUCUGGCAGAGGGAGGAAGUGUGGGGGUGAGGGCGAGGUGCAGGUCGGGGUGGGCUGUGUUUGUUCCUCCCUGGCAUCUCAAUCAAGGACAAUGACAAAUGAGACAAAGGGAUGUAAUUCACCUUGGCGUUCACAGAAUAAUUAACAAGGCGAGGUGUUGAAACUAUCGGCGUCCUUUAUGGCCGCGCUGAUAAGACUCCUUACAGUGGCUGCUUCGGUUCAUGUGUGGACGCUCUGAUCUGACAGCAGUGUCUUUAUCAGCUGCUUUAACAGGUACAUAAAGAUAAUACCAUGCACUGUAAAAACUGCCAAUGCAGUUUUGUCAAGUCAAACAACCUUUUAACAGUUUGACCGUUGACAUUAGCUUGUAACUAAUGUGAAAUAGUAAAGUUACUUUUUGUCUAACGGGGUGUUUAGGGUCUAUCUGUAUUUUGGGGAUAAAUGUUUCUGCAUAAAAAUACUAGAUCUACAAAGUCAUUCAUUGUUAAUCAAGGACAGAAGUGAUGCAAAUGUGUUACUAAUAGAGGUGGGGGAAAAUCGUUUCAUGUAAAAAUCGAGAUUCUUAUCUUCUGAGAUUUUUAAAUUGAUUCAUAACUUUCAAAAAUCGACUAUUUUGGCUAAUCAGUCACUCCCUGCUAAGGGCUAAGGCUAGCUCUUUAACUCAGUAGAAUACCAAAUGGAGCAGCAAUCAGUCAGUCUCACAGAUGACUGGAGUAGAUCCUGAUGUAGGCCUAUGUACUAAUUCAAAAAUAGACUUUGAAUCCAUGGAUCAAUAAAUCCUGAAUUGUUUUGAAUCAAAAAUAGAUUAUGAAUCGAAUCAGGACCCCAAGAAUCCAAAUUGAAUCGAAUCGUGAGACACGCAAAGAUUUCCAACCCUAGUUACUAUACAAUAUUUAGUGAAAUUGUUAUAGCAAGGCAAUAUGUAAACUUUGCGCUCUUAUGACUUUGGUUUCAUAGAAUAGCCUUCCUUGUGUUUAUGCUAUCUGUAUGAGUGUAUGACUGUUUUCUGUUUCUGUGUAUGCUGUUGCGAUAGUGAAGGUGUUAAAUAGCUGAAGAUAAGUUACAGCACAGCUAAGGAGUAGUCAGAGGUUUUAACACAUAAAAAGAGUUGUGACCAUUGUGCAAUAUUUUGUUGAGAGCUACUAAUUAGGGGUGGAUCAAUAGUGCACCAAAACACAUAUUAUUGCAAUGAAUUCGUCUCUUGACAUUUUCUUACAAACCUCAUCACGAUACAGGAGUUAUUAUUUUAUGAUACUAUAAGCAAGGGAAAUAUUCUGUAUUUAACAAAAAAGAAAACUGUUCAAAAUAAGGUCCCAGUUCAAAAGUGUAGCGGGAUCUGCAUUUUAAUUUUGUCCAAGUCAUUGAAGUAUUUUUUGGAGCUCUCGAGCAGAUCCUCACAUUUCCCCAAUACCAGGAGAAAAUAACUCAACGUAAGAUGGAAGUAUUUAAUAAAACAAAAA